UAUUUGCUUCAGCACCAGUGAUGACUGUAAAUGCUGCCUGCUGAUUGGUUGCUGCAGAGGUGAUCAGCCCUAUAGGAAGCGAAGCUUAGUUUAUGACGUAACUUACAGACGAAGCAGGACCAGUGGCCUCAAUGACCCGUGACACAUAGACUUAACAAUUACGAUCUUUCUUGGAAAAGAUCUUUCCAAGAAAGAUCGUUUAUUUCAAUACACGUGUAGAGCUAAAGCGUCAGAUAAACACAGUGGAGCAGCAAUGCCAGAUGGUCUUCUGCCAAGUUUCAGUUCCAAUUUAACAUGAAUCCCACCCAAGGUAGAAGACUGGACCCUUCACCAAAAUGUUACCACUGAAGCUGUGUGCAAUAAAGGUUCCAUCCAUCAUUUGAAUAAUAAAUUGAAGGAAGCCAUACCAAAAUCUACCCGAGUCCCUUACUUUUGAGUAAGAAGGCAAUAAAGACUUGGCAGUGAAA